CGGGCGGGCCCGGAUUUGCCGCCGCGCUUGGGAAGCCGCCACCGCCGCCGCUGCUGCAUGGCACUAGGCUCCCGGCGGGGCAGGUUCCGCAGCCGGCACCGCUCUGGCUAGGCGCACGGAGGCGCCUUGCUUAGUCUGACCCUUAUUUGGCCAGGCGUAAAACUUGUCCUGCCUAAAAGCCUACUGAGACCUCCUAACUGGUCUAAUCCGCGGGAGACGCCAAAGGCGGCGGCCGUUUGUGCGCACAGGAUUUUUCUUGGAGCUGUAGCAGUCUAGGAAGCCAGGGUGGAACUUUUGCUAAGCUCCCGUUGUAAGCCCAGAGCUGUAAUAACUGCUGAGACACAACCAGCAGUAUACAGGCUCCAGUUGGAAAUCGAGAACUUUCCAGGGCUGUCACCCAGGCUGGAGUGCAGUGGUGCCAUCACAGCUCACUGCAGCCUCGACCUCCUAGGCUAAAGUGAUCCUCCCAACUCAGCCUCCCGUAGCUGGGACUACAGGAAUGUGCCACGCCCAGGUCUAUCCAGCUGAAGUCAAAAAUGCCCCUCUCAGGCUGCCCCCAGUGACUCCAGUUUCCUAGCAGAGCCUAACCAGAGGAGGACAUACAAAGGAGUCCUGGCUAAUGAGAGAUAAGCAUGUGCCUGCUGUGGAGCUUCUUGGAAAGUUUCAACUGGUAAAAGGGGAAGAAUUGAACACAGAAGUGAUGGCAAGAG
rnacentral:lncRNA from 1 species